ACGCUCGACACCUACGGGAGGCAGCAGUGGGGAAUAUUGCACAAUGGGGGAAACCCUGAUGCAGCGACGCCGCGUGAAGGAAGAAGUAUUUCGGUAUGUAAACUUCUAUCAGCAGGGAAGAAAAUGACGGUACCUGACUAAGAAGCCCCGGCUAACUACGUGCCGCAGCCGCGGUAAUCUGAGCGGGCUGGCAAGGC
rnacentral:rRNA from 1 species